CUGUCCAGCGGAAGCUGGGCGGCCCGGGCACCGAGACUGGGAUCUCCGCAGGUCCAGCUACAAGUUCGGGCUCCGCGGCUUCCCGCGACCGUUAACCACGUGAGAGCCCAGCCCACCAAUCCCCGCCCCGCUCUGGGUUUGAAAAAAAAAGGAGGGCGCGACGUAGCCCGCGGGGGAGGAACCAGCUACGCGAUUUUGGCGCGAAACUGCUGGCUCCGCCUCCCUGUCGGCGCGCUGCCAGGCCACCGGCCUAUGAGCGAGCCCGAGGCCGCCUUCAGGGAGGGGCGAAGGGAGCGAGGUACGCCCUGCGGGGCGGCCCCGAGGGCCGCCCCGAGGGCCGCCCCGGGGUCUGAAUCUCUGUGGGCGGCGUGGGGGCCUCCUGGUUCCCUGCGGGCCGGCAGCAGCCGGAGCCGCCUGCAGCCAGGCGUCCCUUUGGCGCUAGCCACUGGGGCGCUGUGGGCGUGGCGGUGUGCAGUCACGUUUCGGACUCGAGGUCGGGCCUCCGGACCUUCCUGAAUUCUGUGAACCUGGUGUGCCUAGGAGGGACACCGAGGUCAACCAGAGGACCCACACGCGAGUUCUCGACGCGAAGACACUGGCUGGGGGGCGCGUCCUCUGAGCCUCAGUUUGCUCAGGUGGUGGCUAUUGGGGGCGGGUGCGACCUCCUGAGGUGAGCUCUCCAGGCCUGUGGUCCCCUAUGCAGCCGAGCCAAGGCUUGUCCCGGUAAACAGAAGCAGCACCCCCGCGGCGCUACCCCAAACUGGUGCCCACCAAGCGACCACGGUGUUUGUCAGCCUGCACGUGGGCCUGUGUUGGCAAAACGGGUUGGCCAGGCAGCUAAGGUCUAACUAGAGAAAACAAUUCCCCUCCUACCAUGUCGAACCGUCCCUUAUUGCACACACAAGAUUUCUUUCCCAGUUUUUCUGUUGUAAAUAACCCCGCGACUAAUAUCCAUCUUUCUCCGUGGUAUUAUUAUUAUUUAGGAUACAUUGCUGGAGUGGGAAUUACUGGGUCAAAGGAUUUAAGCUGCCAAAUUUGCCCUCCAGGAAAACAAUUUGUAUUCUCACUACCAGUAGAUUACAGCACGCUUUUUGUGAAUUUUGGAUGUCAGCGGAUAUUUAAUGUUUGUUCAGCCAUGCCCUGGAAGCAAAAUGAAUCUCCUGGAGAAUUGAGGAGUCCCUGUAUCUCUCAAGCCAGGAUCUUACUGAGUUGCUAAGGCUGGCCUCAAACUUGCAAUCCUCCUGCCUCAGCCUCCUAAAUCACUGAGACUACAGUCCUAGGUAUUGAGUCUGGAACCUUGAACACACUUGUUAGUGGGCUACAUCCUAGCCCAGCUGGGAGAAAUUGUACCUUAUUCAAGCCAUGACCAUGUCCCAAUCAAACCUUGGCAGAUACUUCAACUUAAAGAAGACCUGGUACCAAGUAGGAAUGGCUAAGAAGGUCCAGAAGCCCAUUCACCUUCAGCAAAGAGAAGUAAAACAACUGUUGUGGAUAUCACAUCCACGAGGGACCUCAACUUAGGUUGUUCCCAUACCCUGUUGACAAGACUCUAAGAAUAACCAUGGAGGGUACACCCCAUAUAUUCAUCUUUCUACAACACACCUGCCUGAACUACUAGAAGGACCCUACUCUUGAGAGGCCUACAAAGAAAAUGAAUCCCUCACGCUCCAAUAUAGUACACACUGUGUCAAAACCAACUAAUCACAGCCAAAGAAGCCAUAAGGAAACUACAUUAUAAAGUCCAUUUGCAAUCAAACUCAACACUACUCAACAAACUGAAAUGCCAGGACUCACUGUCAAGAGAAGGCUGCUCACUAAGAAGAGGCUCACAUAAAAUUAGAAUAGAUUUCUAUCCCAACAGAUGCUUAAAUCUGUACACAAAAACACACAAUAUGAAAAAAACAGAACAACUCUAAAAAUUCAUUACUCUCUAAUAACUGUCCGAAGGUAAUGAAGGGGUGAGAUGCUGGACAAAAAAUUCAAAAGAAUGAUUUUAAAAUGAUUCAUGAGCUGGGUGCAGUGGCACACACCUCUAAUCCCAGCAGCUUGGGAGGCUGAGGCAAGAGGAUCACAAGUUCAAAGCCAGCCUCAGCAACAGCGAGGUGCUAAGAAACUCAGUGAGACCCUGUCUCUAAAUAAAAUAUAAAAUAGAGUUGGGGAUGUGUCUCAGUGGUUGAGUGCCCCUGAGUUCAAUGUCCCGUAUCCCCACCCCUCCUGCUAAAAAAAAAAAAAAAAAAAAAGAUUAAUGAAUUGAAAGAUGAUACAAAUAGGGGCUGGGGUUGUAGCUCAGUGGUAGAGUGCUCACCUAGCAUGCAUGAGGCACUGGGUUCGAUCCUCAGCACCACAUUAAAAAAACGUAAAAUAUAUUGUGUCCACCUAAAAUUUAAAAAUAUAUUUUUUUAAAAAAGAAAAAAGAUGAUACAAAUAAACAGCUGAACGAAUGAAUUAAGGAAAACAGUAUAGGGCACAAAAGAACAAUUCAAUAAAGAAAAAGAAUUUCUGAAAAAGAACUAAAGAGAAAUCUUGGAAACAGAUCUCAAUAAGUCAAAUAAAAAGCUUAGUUGAAAAUCUCAUGAAUAAACUAGAUCAAGUAGAAGAAAGAAUAUCAGAACUUAAAGAAAAUAAGCAUAUUCAGACAGUAAUGAACAAAAUAAGAAUGAACAGAACAUGCAAGAUUUAUUGGACAUCAUUAAAAAUCAAGCACAAAUAUAAAUAGAAUAAGCAAGGGAGAAGUAUAGGUUAAAGGCCUCAAAAAAAAUUCCUAAAUCUUUUGAAAGAUAUAGACAUGGAGGGAUAGAAGGCAUUUAGAACCCCAAACAGACAUGACCAGAAAAGAACUGCUUUAUGACAUAUUGUAGUUGAAGUGCCAAAAGCAUAGAACAAAGAAAUAAUAAUAAAAGCUGUGAGAGAAGCACCAAGUCAUAUAUAAAGGCAGACUUAUCAGAAUAACAGCAGAUUUCUCAUCAGAACUGUAACAGGUAAUAGGGCACAGAAUCAUGUAUUUUAAUCCCUGAUAGUAAAUAAAUGUGAAUGUAGAUUACUACAUCCAGCAAAGUUUCCUUCAGAAUUAAAGAAGAAAUAAAGACUUUCCAAGGUAAGUAUACACUACAGGAAUUCAUGACUACUAAACCAGCAUUACAAAAGACACUUAAAGAGGAAGAAAGAUAAACAAUCACAAACUAAUGGGAUGGGGUUAGGGAUGUGGCUCAAGCAGUAGCGCGCUCCCCUGGCAUGGGUGCGGCCCAGGUUCGAUCCUCAGCACCACAUACAAACAAAGAUGUUGUGUCUGCCGAAAACUAAAAUGUAAAUAAAAUAUAAAAAAGAAAAAACAAACUAAUGGGAAAGGAUAAAUGUCAUUAGAAGAGUAGAGCAGUAAAUGAGAAUUAGCAAAGAAUCAAAACAUUAGAAUAACAACAGGAAUUAUACACUCUUCAAUAAUAACCCUUAAUAUAAAUGGUCUUAUUUCUCCAAUUAAAAGAUGCAGACUAGCUGAUCAAAUUAUUAAAAAAAAAUAAAAAUAAAAAGGCCCACUGUAUGCUGUAAUGCCUCUCUGUAAUCCCAGCUACUUGGGAAGUUAAGGCAGAGUGAUCACUAGAUCUCAAUUCCAACCCAGGAAUCUUACAGAGGCUCUCUCAAAAUAAAACAUAAAAAGGGCAGGUGAUAUAGCUCAGUGGUAGACCUCUGUAUUUAGUCCCUAGUACUGACAACAAAACAAAAUACAUGAGCAUCUUAACAGAUGCAGAAAAAAUCUUUGAUGAAAUCCAACAUCCCUUCAUGUUAGCCCUGAGUAAAUCAAAUAAAGGAUCAUACUUCAACAUAAUAAAGGCUGUGUGUGACAAUCCCCCAGCCAACACCAUACUUGAAUGGGGAAAAACUGAAGCAUUUCCUUUAUAAUAAAAAAUAGCACAAGGGCACAUGCUUGUAAUUUCAGCAACCCAGGAAGCUAAGGCAGGAGAAUUCCAAGUUCCAGGCCAGUCUCAGCAAUUUAGGUCCUAAGCAACUUUGCGAGACCCUGUCUCAAAAUGAAUAAUAUAAAUAAAAAAGGGAUGGGGAUGUAGCUCAGUGGUAAAGAACCCUGGGCUCAACUCUUAGUACCAAAAAAAAAAAAAAAAAAAGAGUAAGUGUGUCCACUUUCACCACUCUUAUUCAAUAUAUAUAGUAUUUGAUAUUUCAGCCAAAGCAAUCAGACGAGAAAGGAAGAAAGAAAAAAAGCGGAUACAAACAGAAAAGGAGGAAGUCAAAUCAUCCCUGUUUUCAGAUGAUUGGAUUCUAUACUUAGAAAAUCCUAAGGACUCCACCAAUGACUCUUAGAACUGAUACAAAAAUUCAGCAAAGAAUCAGUAUACAAAACCAAUGUACAAAACUCAGGCCAGAUACAGUGGCACAUCCCUGUUAUCUCAGCAACCCAGGAGAUCAAGACAGGAGGAUCACAAGUUUGAGGCUGGCCUCAAUAACUUAAUGAGGCUCUUGGCAAUUUAGUGAGACCCUGUCUCAAAUAAAAUUAAAAAGGGCUGGGGACAUGGCUUAGUGAUAAAGUUUCCCUGAGUUAAAUCCCAGUACCAAAAACAAAAAGCAAAAAUUAGUAAUUUUUCUAUACACCAAUAACGAAUUACCAGAGGGGAGAAAAAUCAGGUAAACAAUCCCAUUCACAAUAUCACCUCCACACCAAAAUAUAAAAAUACCUAGGAAUAAGCCUAACCAAAGAAGUGAAAAACUUCUACAAUGGAAGUUAUAAAAUGAAAAAGAAGUUGAAGAAAGACACCACAAGAUGGAAAGACUUCCCAUGAUCACAGAUUGGGAGAAUUAAUAUUGUUAAAAUGGCCAUACUGGGCUGGGGUUGUGGCUUAGCAAUAGAGCACCCGCCUACCAUGUGUGAGGCCCUGGAUUCAAUCCUCAGCACCACAUAAAAAUAAAUAAAUAAAAUAAAGGUAUUGGGUCCAACUACAACUAAAAAAUAUUAAAAAAAAAAAAAAAAAAAGGCCAACUGUAGAGUUGGUAAGUAUGCCCAGGCCAAACAAUGAGGUUGAAUACAUGGGUAGUCGCUCCAAAAGAGUGCUGAGUUUCUACUGCACAUGCUUAAAAUAUCUUAAGGGUCUAGAUGUACAUUCUCUACUCAUUGAACUUAUCCAGGUGAAUGAAGCAACAAGAUGGGCUGCUACACUUACAAAGUGCAUGGUCAGAUUAACUCAUACACGAGCUCCCCUGCCACAUCAAGAUGAUCUUUACUGAAAAGGAAUAAAUUGUUCCUAAGCCAGAAAAGGCUGCACAAAAGAAAAAGAUCCCAGAAGAAACAAAAACUCAUGGCACUGGAAUAAAUUCAGCAUAAAACAAAUGCAAAUAAAACUUAAAAAAAAAAAAGUCACACUAUUGAAAAGUAACUACAGAUUCAGUCAAUCCCCAUCAAAACAUCAAUGACAGGGCUGGAGUUAUGGCUCAGUGGGAGAGUGCUUGAUACAUGAGGGACUAGAGUUCAAUCCCCAGUACCACAUUAAAAAAAACAAAAUGUUAAACAAAAUAAAAGGUAUAUCCAUCUACAACUAAAAAUAUUUUUUUUAAAUUACAUUCUUCAUAGGAAAAUUAAAAAAAAAAAAUCCAUCCUAAAAUUAUAAGGAAGGACAAACCCUGAAGAGCCAAAGAAAUCCUGAGCACAAAACAAGAUAAUGCUGGAGGUAUCAUAAUAUCUUAUUUCAAAAUAUACUUCAGAGUCACAAUAACCAAAACAGCAUGGUCUUGGCAUAAAAACAGAUAUGUACCACCAGGUGCAGUGACACACACCUAUAAUACCAGUGACUCUGGAGGCUGAGGCCCUAAGCAAGUUAGUAAGAUCCUGUUUCAAAAUAAAAACUAAAAAAUGUCAGGGAUGUGGUUUUGUGGUAAAGCACCCCUGGGUUCAAGCUCUACUAUAAAACAAAACAAACAGAAAACAGACAUGUAAACCAAAAUACAAAAAAGGAGCCAGAAAUAAACCCACACAUCCACAACCAUCUGCUUCUCAAAAAAAUUACCAAAAGCAUGUUAGAAAAAAGAUAGCCUCUUCAACAAAUGGUGCUGGGAAAACUCUGGAAACCCACAUGUAGAAGACUGAAACUAGAUCUCUAUCUCUCACCCUAAAAUGAACUUAAGGCUGGGCACAGUGGCACACAAUCUGUAAUCCCAGCAGCUCCGGAGGCUGAGGCAGGAGAAUGGAGAGUUCAAAGCAGACCUCAGCAACUUAGUGAGACCCAAAGCAACUCAGCUACUCAGCAAGACUCUGUCUCUAAAAUUAAAAAAAAAAAAAAAAGGAAAGAAAAAGAAAAGGGAUCAAAGGCCUUAAUGUAACAUCUGAAUCUGAUAUUGGAAAAAAACAUAUGGGAAACAUUUCAAGAUACUGGCAUAGGAAGUACUGAAUAAGACUCUAACAGGCCAGGAAAUAAAAGCAAUAAUUGACAAACCAAAUUACAUUGAGUUAAAAAGCUUCAGCAAACGAGAGGAAACAGUCAAUAGAGUAAAGAGACAACCUACAGAAUAGGAGAACAUCUUUGCUAGUAUUCAUGUAAUUGAGGAUUAAUAUCCAGAAUAUAUUAAAAAAACCUCAAAAAUUUAAUAAUGAAAGAAUAAUCCAAUCAAUAAAUGGACAAAUGACCCGAAUAGACAGUUCUCAAAAGAAGAUACACAAAUGGCUAAUAAAUGUGAAAAAAUGCUCAAUAUCUUUAGCCAUCAGAGAAAUGUAAAUGGAAGUAUGCCGAAGCCAGCAUAAUGAUGCAUGCCUGUAAUCACAGCAACUCAGGAGGCUGAGGCAGGAGGAUCCUGAAUUUGAAGCUAGCAUGGGAAACUGAGCAAGACCCUAUCUGAAAAUAAAAAAUAAAAAGGGCUGAGGAUAUGACUCAAUGGUAGAGCUCCCUGGGUUCAAUCCCCAGUACCCACAAACAAAACAAAACAAACUAAUGCUGGUGAGGAUGUGAAGAAAAGGAACCUUUAUACAUUUCUGUUGGUGGGAAUGUAAAUUAGUACAGCCACUAUUGAAAACACUAUGGAAGUUCCUCAGAAAACUAUUCAGCUAUACCACUCUUGGGGAUAUACCCGAAGGAAAUGAAGUCAGCAUACAAAAGAGAUCCCCCUGCAGGACUGGGGUUGUGGCUCAGUGGUAGAGCACUUGCCUAGCAUGUGUGAGGCACUGGGUUCGAGUCUCAGAACCACAUAUAAAUAAAUGAAUAUUUAUUGGGGCUGGGGAUGUGGCUCAAGUGCUAGUGCGCUUGCCUGGCAUGUGCGGGGCGCUGGGUUCGAUCCUCAGCACCACAUUAAAAAAAAUAAAUAAAUAAAGAUGUUGUGUCCACCGAAAACUAAAAAAUAAAUAUUAAAAAAUUCUCUCUCUUGGGCUGGGGAUGUGGCUCAAGUGGUAACGUGCUCACCUGGCAUGCGCGGGGCACUGGGUUUGAUCCUCAGCACCACAUAAGAUAAAAAAUAAAGAUGUUGUGUCCACCAAAAACUGAAAAAUAAAUAUUAAAAAAAUUCUCUCUUAAAAAAAAUUUUUUUCUCUCUAAAAACAUAAAUAAACAAAAAAAUAAAAAAAUAAAGGCCCAUCAACAUCUUUAAAAAUUCUGAAAAAAAAAAGAGAGAUCCCUGCAUAUCCAUUUAUUAUAGCCAAGACAUGGAAUCAACCUAUGUGCCAAUCAAUAGAUGAAUGGAUAAAAUAAUAUGUAUAUAUACACAAUGGAGUAUUUAAAAUAAAGUCUCAUAGAAAAGAAUUAAAUCCUGUCAUUUGUAGCAAAAUGGAUAGAAAUGGAGACCAUCAUGUUAAGUGAAAUAAGCAAGACAGAAAAGGACAAGUAUUAUUACAUGUCUUCUCUCAUAUAUGAAGACUAAAAAGAAAAAAUAAAUAAUCUGUAAAUAGAAGAGGGAUUAUUAAGGAAGAGAAGGGGGAAGAGGGAGAGAGAAGAUGAGAAUAGUAGGGAAGGUAGAUACAAUAAAAGCAUGAUAUAUGCAUGUAUGGAAAUGACACACUGAAACUCAUUGAUUUGUAGAAUUAAAAUGUGUUAAUAGUUAUAAUAAAAACAGGAAAAAAUAUGAGUUUAUUUUUUUGUGGAACUAGGGAUUACACUCUACCACUAAGCUACAGCCCCAAUCCUUUUUAUUUGCAUUUACUUAUUUAUUUUAAUAGAUUUAAGAGCAUUAUAUUUCUAAUGAACAAUUAAAUCAGGAAAAUAGAGAUAAAUAUUGUAUUGAUAUUUUGGAAUCCCAGUAUUAAGACCACAAAUAAGUCUUAGCCCACAUCUACUUCCAAUGACUCAGAUGUUUCUUUCUAAUGAAUUGAUCAUUACAUUUCCAAAUUUCUGAAAUGGCCAACAGACAACAGAAAGACAUUUAUUUAGGCUCUUGCUUGGAACAGUUUCAACAAACUGCUAGCCUUGAUUUAGAGACAAAUUAUUUUUAAUUUUGAGACAGGGUCUCACUGAAUUUCCCAAGCUGGCCGUGAACUUGCAAUCCUCCUGCCUUAGUGUCAAGUUUAAAAAACAAGAUGCAGAAAAGUAUCAUUUACUGCCAUUAAAAAAAGAAAGAAGGGAAGACAACUAUUUAUUUGUAUAUGCUUAAAGAAUUACUGGAAGAACACAUCAAAGGUUAAUAAAAGUGAAUUAUCUGUAGGGGCAAAAACUGAGUAGAUAAGAGGCAGGGAUGGGAGGACACUUUCCACUGUACACCUAUAUAUAUAUUUUUGUCCUUUUUUUUUUUUUUUUGUGUGUGUGUGUGUAGUGCUGGAGGUGGAACCCAGGGCCUCAUUCAUACUAGGCAAGGGCUCUACUACUGGCUCUACCAUGUCCCUAUUUUUUUUUUUUAAUUAUGUGAGUAUAUUAAUACCUAGAAAAUUUAAUAAAGUAAAAAUAAGUAAAUUUUGCAAAUAAAUUAAUUUCUUUAGUAUAUGAUGAUGAUGAUGGUGAUAAGAGCUACCAGUAAGGAAUACUUAAUAUACAGCUGGGCUGAGUACUUUACAUGCAUUAUCUCAUUUAAUCCUUAUAUUGAUCUUAUGGAGCAGAUAGAACUAUCACUCUUAAUUAAAGAUGAACAAAAAAACAGACUCUGAGGGUUAAUUAGCUAAGAAAUUCCAAAACUGGAUUCAAUUUGAAGUUUUUGUGCCUAACCACUGUCAUAUAUAUAAAGUUGUAUAACAGAUUUUUUUUUCAUAUGUGCAACAGUUUUGAAAUGGAUAUAUGUAUUGACUGAUAUAACAGACAAAGGUAAUUACCUGCU